AGUGGCGACUUACAAGAAGCUCUGGUUUCCGGAUUUCUUACACCGGGACUAUCUCGAGGUGAUGUUCAGCAAUAGGAACGAACGUGCGGAGCUGCUGGAGGGGCUCCUAAGAUG